GGUUAAGCGACUAAGCGUACACGGUGGAUGCCCUGGCAGUCAGAGGCGAUGAAGGACGUGCUAAUCUGCGAUAAGCGUCGGUAAGGUGAUAUGAACCGUUAUAACCGGCGAUUUCCGAAUGGGGAAACCCAGUGUGAUUCGUCACACUAUCAUUAACUGAAUCCAUAGGUUAAUGAGGCGAACCGGGGGAACUGAAACAUCUAAGUACCCCGAGGAAAAGAAAUCAACCGAGAUUCCCCCAGUAGCGGCGAGCGAACGGGGAGCAGCCCAGAGCCUGAAUCAGUGUGUGUGUUAGUGGAAGCGUCUGGAAAGGCGCGCGAUACAGGGUGACAGCCCCGUACACAAAAAUGCACAUGCUGUGAGCUCGAUGAGUAGGGCGGGACACGUGGUAUCCUGUCUGAAUAUGGGGGGACCAUCCUCCAAGGCUAAAUACUCCUGACUGACCGAUAGUGAACCAGUACCGUGAGGGAAAGGCGAAAAGAACCCCGGCGAGGGGAGUGAAAAAGAACCUGAAACCGUGUACGUACAAGCAGUGGGAGCACGCUUAGGCGUGUGACUGCGUACCUUUUGUAUAAUGGGUCAGCGACUUAUAUUCUGUAGCAAGGUUAACCGAAUAGGGGAGCCGAAGGGAAACCGAGUCUUAACUGGGCGUUAAGUUGCAGGGUAUAGACCCGAAACCCGGUGAUCUAGCCAUGGGCAGGUUGAAGGUUGGGUAACACUAACUGGAGGACCGAACCGACUAAUGUUGAAAAAUUAGCGGAUGACUUGUGGCUGGGGGUGAAAGGCCAAUCAAACCGGGAGAUAGCUGGUUCUCCCCGAAAGCUAUUUAGGUAGCGCCUCGUGAAUUCAUCUCCGGGGGUAGAGCACUGUUUCGGCAAGGGGGUCAUCCCGACUUACCAACCCGAUGCAAACUGCGAAUACCGGAGAAUGUUAUCACGGGAGACACACGGCGGGUGCUAACGUCCGUCGUGAAGAGGGAAACAACCCAGACCGCCAGCUAAGGUCCCAAAGUCAUGGUUAAGUGGGAAACGAUGUGGGAAGGCCCAGACAGCCAGGAUGUUGGCUUAGAAGCAGCCAUCAUUUAAAGAAAGCGUAAUAGCUCACUGGUCGAGUCGGCCUGCGCGGAAGAUGUAACGGGGCUAAACCAUGCACCGAAGCUGCGGCAGCGACACUGUGUGUUGUUGGGUAGGGGAGCGUUCUGUAAGCCUGCGAAGGUGUGCUGUGAGGCAUGCUGGAGGUAUCAGAAGUGCGAAUGCUGACAUAAGUAACGAUAAAGCGGGUGAAAAGCCCGCUCGCCGGAAGACCAAGGGUUCCUGUCCAACGUUAAUCGGGGCAGGGUGAGUCGACCCCUAAGGCGAGGCCGAAAGGCGUAGUCGAUGGGAAACAGGUUAAUAUUCCUGUACUUGGUGUUACUGCGAAGGGGGGACGGAGAAGGCUAUGUUGGCCGGGCGACGGUUGUCCCGGUUUAAGCGUGUAGGCUGGUUUUCCAGGCAAAUCCGGAAAAUCAAGGCUGAGGCGUGAUGACGAGGCACUACGGUGCUGAAGCAACAAAUGCCCUGCUUCCAGGAAAAGCCUCUAAGCAUCAGGUAACAUCAAAUCGUACCCCAAACCGACACAGGUGGUCAGGUAGAGAAUACCAAGGCGCUUGAGAGAACUCGGGUGAAGGAACUAGGCAAAAUGGUGCCGUAACUUCGGGAGAAGGCACGCUGAUAUGUAGGUGAAGUCCCUCGCGGAUGGAGCUGAAAUCAGUCGAAGAUACCAGCUGGCUGCAACUGUUUAUUAAAAACACAGCACUGUGCAAACACGAAAGUGGACGUAUACGGUGUGACGCCUGCCCGGUGCCGGAAGGUUAAUUGAUGGGGUCAGCGCAAGCGAAGCUCUUGAUCGAAGCCCCGGUAAACGGCGGCCGUAACUAUAACGGUCCUAAGGUAGCGAAAUUCCUUGUCGGGUAAGUUCCGACCUGCACGAAUGGCGUAAUGAUGGCCAGGCUGUCUCCACCCGAGACUCAGUGAAAUUGAACUCGCUGUGAAGAUGCAGUGUACCCGCGGCAAGACGGAAAGACCCCGUGAACCUUUACUAUAGCUUGACACUGAACAUUGAGCCUUGAUGUGUAGGAUAGGUGGGAGGCUUUGAAGUGUGGACGCCAGUCUGCAUGGAGCCGACCUUGAAAUACCACCCUUUAAUGUUUGAUGUUCUAACGUUGACCCGUGAUCCGGGUUGCGGACAGUGUCUGGUGGGUAGUUUGACUGGGGCGGUCUCCUCCUAAAGAGUAACGGAGGAGCACGAAGGUUGGCUAAUCCUGGUCGGACAUCAGGAGGUUAGUGCAAUGGCAUAAGCCAGCUUGACUGCGAGCGUGACGGCGCGAGCAGGUGCGAAAGCAGGUCAUAGUGAUCCGGUGGUUCUGAAUGGAAGGGCCAUCGCUCAACGGAUAAAAGGUACUCCGGGGAUAACAGGCUGAUACCGCCCAAGAGUUCAUAUCGACGGCGGUGUUUGGCACCUCGAUGUCGGCUCAUCACAUCCUGGGGCUGAAGUAGGUCCCAAGGGUAUGGCUGUUCGCCAUUUAAAGUGGUACGCGAGCUGGGUUUAGAACGUCGUGAGACAGUUCGGUCCCUAUCUGCCGUGGGCGCUGGAGAACUGAGGGGGGCUGCUCCUAGUACGAGAGGACCGGAGUGGACGCAUCACUGGUGUUCGGGUUGUCAUGCCAAUGGCACUGCCCGGUAGCUAAAUGCGGAAGAGAUAAGUGCUGAAAGCAUCUAAGCACGAAACUUGCCCCGAGAUGAGUUCUCCCUGACUCCUUGAGAGUCCUGAAGGAACGUUGAAGACGACGACGUUGAUAGGCCGGGUGUGUAAGCGCAGCGAUGCGUUGAGCUAACCGGUACUAAUGAACCGUGAGGCUUAACCUU
rnacentral:rRNA from 1 species